rnacentral:rRNA from 1 species
CCUACGGGAGGCAGCAGUGAGGAAUAUUGGUCAAUGGACGAGAGUCUGAACCAGCCAAGUAGCGUGAAGGAUGACUGCCCUAUGGGUUGUAAACUUCUUUUAUAAAGGACUAAAACGUGGCACGUGUGCCUUUUUUCAUUUACUUUAUGAAUAAGAAUCGGCUAACUCCGUGCCAGCAGCCGCGGUAAUACGGAGGAUCCGAGCGUUAUCCGGAUUUAUUGGGUUUAAAGGGAGCGUAGAUGGGUUGUUAAGUCAGUUGUGAAAGUUUGCGGCUCAACCGGAAAAUUGCAAUUGAUACUGGCAGUCUUGAGUACAGUAGAGGUAGGCGGAAUUCGUGGUGUAGCGGUGAAAUGCUUAGAUAUCACGAAGAACCCCGAUUGCGAAGGCAGCUUACUAAACUGUGACUGACAUUGAUGCUCGAAAGUGUGGGUAUCAAACAGGAUUAGAUACCCUUGUAGUC